UUGCAACAAGUUCCUAUCGUCCACUGUGUUGUUGUUGUUUUCAGCAGAGCACCAGCAUUGAUAUCGAGUUGGCCCAGCAACCGCACUAGUCCCGCCUGCAGGAGCCCCAGUCCAGAACGACCUUUCCCCUCCCUUGACUUCUAAAUCCUCCCUCUUGACCGCCUGCCUCAAAAAGUCAGCAUCUUUGAACAACUCCGUUCUGCAGGAAAUUCUGAGCAUGAUUCUGUUCUGAACAAACGCAAUGCCCACGUCACGUUUUCCAUACAUAAGCCUGGGUAGUUUUGUUAAGCUAGAGUUCCGCGUGGGCCUGAAAGGGACAAGUGUUACAGACACAAACAGUUAUAGCAGUAGUUAUGGUAACGCUAACAGUCAGUUGUUGCUGUUGGACAUCACAACAAAUAUCAUGAAGAAUAAGAAAUUCAAUAAGUUGUUCCAAUCUUUAUGGGACAUACAGAAAUUGAACGGAAGAAAAUCAAGGAACAAUAAAAGCGUAAGCUUUCCUAGUGGGAUACAUCUGCUGUUAAUAGUUUGAACAACAGUAGGGUUACUGACUGCCCCAGAUUGUCCUCUCAGCGGCCUGAAUAUCAUAAUAGAACGGACUUUUGGCAAUAUUUCUGACAAAGAAAGGCAAUAAUGACUUGGUUGUGAAUACCCAGAGCAUGAUACAUCCAUGCUGACAAAGAAAGGCGGUAAUGACUUGGUUGUGAACACACAGAGCGCGAUACAUCCAUGCUGACACAGUAAGGCAGAAAUGACUUGGUUGUGAACACCCAGAGCACAAUACAUCCGUGCUGAUACAGAAAGGCAGUAAUGACUUGGCUGUGAACACAGAACACGAUACACCCGUGCUGACACAGAAAGGCAGUUAUGACUUGGCUGUGAAAACAGAGCACAAUACAUCCAUGCUGAAACAGAAUGGCAGUCAUGACUAUGCUGUGAACACCCAGAGCACGAUAUAUCCUUGCUGACACAGAAAGGCAGUAAUGACUAUGCUGUGAAAACCCACAGAAAGAUACAUCCAUGCUAACACAGAAAGGCAGUAAUGACUAUGCAGUGAACACCCAGAGCAAGAUAUAUCCAUGCUGACACAGAAAGGCAGUAAUGACUAUGCUGUGAAAACCCACAGAAAGAUACAUCCAUGCUGACACAGAAAGGCAGUAAUGACUUGGUUUUGAACAACCAGAGCAAGAUAUAUCCAUGCUGACACAGAAAGGCAGUAAUGACUUGGCUGUGAACACAGAACACGAUACACCAAUGCUGACACAGAAAAGGCAGUAAUGACUUGGCAGUGAACACAGAACACGAUACACCCAUGCUGACACAGAAAGGCAGUAAUGACUUUGCUGUGAACACAGAGCACACUACAUCCAUGCUGACACAGAAAGGCAGUAAUGACUUGGCUGUGAGAACAGAACACCAUGCAUCCAUGCUGAUACAGAAAGGCAGUAAUGACUUGGCUGUGAACACAGAGCACAAUACAUCCAUGCUGACACAGAAAGGCAGUUAUGACUUGGUUGUAAACACAGAGCACAAUACAUCCUUGUUGACACAGAAAGGCAGUAAUGACUUGGCUGUGAACACAGAGCACAAUACAUCCAUGCUGACACAGAAAGGCAGUUAUGACUUGGUUGUGAACACAGAGCACAAUACAUCCUUGUUGACACAGAAAGGCAGUUAUGACUUUGCUGUGAACUCAGAGCACGAUACAUUCAUGCUGACACAGAAAGGCAGUAAUGACUUUGCUGUAAACUCAGAGCACGAUACAUCCAUGCUGACACAUAAAGGCAGUAAUGACUUGGAUGUAAACACCCAGAGCACAAUACAUCCAUGCUGACACAGAAAAGCAGUAAUGACUGCUGUGAACACCCAGAGCACAAUACAUCCAUGCUGAAACAGAAAGGCAGUCAUGACUAUGCAGUGAACACCCAGAGCAAGAUAUAUCCAUGCUGACACAGAAAGGAAGUGAUGACUAUGAUGUGAACACCCAGAGCAAGAUAUAUCCAUGCUGACACAGAAAGGCAGUAAUGAUUAUGCUGUGAACACCCAGAGCACAAUACAUCCAUGCUGACACAGAAAGGCAGUAAUGACUUGGUUGUGAACUCAGAGCACGAUACACCCAUGCUGAAACAGAAAGGCAGUAAUGAAUUUGCUGUGAACUCAGAGCACAAUACAUCCAUGCUGAAACAGAAAGGCAGUAAUGACUUGGAUGUAAACACCCAGAGCACAAUACAUCCAUGAUUACACAGGAAGGCAGUUAAGACUUGGUUGUAAACACCCAGAGCACAAUACAUCCAUGCUGACACAGAAAGGCAGUAAAGACUUUGUUGUAAACACUAAGAUAUCCAUACAUCCAUGGGGUGGGCCACAGACGCAAAUUACGCCCACCAUUUUGAACAAGGUGCUUAAAGUGAACACGUCUGGUUUUGUUAUGAGCACUUAGCACUCCGAGUCCAAAAGGCCUCGCAUUGAAUUGAUGCAAGAGAAGGCUUUAAAAAAUAACAGCAGUUUUGUUGUGUGGUCCAGUAGGCCCUUGGACUCGCAACCUGAAGAAAGCAGAACUCAAACUCGUCUCUUAGCAAUAUCAGCAAGGCCAGCAUGUCAUCUCAGCUUCUAGAGCUUCAGGUGAGACCUUACAGUGUUAAUUAUUUUGUUGAAAUUGGGGCCAAAAUUCAGCCCCAUUCUUAUCUCAAAAAGUCUAUAUUUAUGAUAACUGGCUUAAGUUCUCAAUUCAUGGUUUCCCAGAAGAAAAAGAAUGUUUUGAUAGGUUGCAACAUUGAGUUAAUCAGAACUCAAAUUCAGCCUUUGGCAAUAUUAGCGAGGCCAGCAUAUCAGCUCAGCUUCUUGAGCUUCAGGUGAGAUCAUACAGUGUUAUUCAUUUUGUCGAAAUUUGGGUCCAAAAUUGAGUCCCAUUCCUAAUCUUAAACAGUUUAUUGUUUCCAUAAUUACUGGCUAAAGUUCUCAAUUCAAGGUUUGACCCCAAACAAUGUUUAAAUAGGUACAAAUUGAGUUUGGUUCCUUAUGCAGCUCUAUAAGUUGAACCUAAGUGCAAUUUAUCUUGAUACCACUUAUUCUCAAUUUUUAAAUUAUGUUUAGCAAAAUCUACAACCAUUUUCCAAAUUUAAUUCAAAACACGUUGAUUUUUUACGAAUUGUCCCAAUCCAAAAAUGGUUAGAAUAAACACUGCACAGAGCAAGCCCCUAGUUAUAGCACAUUUUAAAGUUUUUUAUCAGAAUAACUGGCUUAAUUAUACCCCCACAAACGAAGUUUAGGGGGGUAUAUAGGAGUGAACUUGUCUGUCGGUCAGUCGGUCUGUCUGUCGGUCCGUAUAAAGUGUCCGCUCUCUAAUUCAAGUAGUUUUCAUCCGAUCUUCACCAAACUUGGUUAGAAGUUGUAUCUACAUGAUGUCUAGGCCAAGUUCGAACAUGGGCCUUGCCGGGUCAAAAACUAGGUCACGGGGUUACUUAGUGCGUUUUAAACAUUCAGCAUGUUGUCCGCUCUCUAAUUCAAGUAGUUUUCAUCCGAUCUUCACCAAACUUGGUCAGAAGAUGCAUCUAGAUGAUCUUAAGGCCAAGUUCGAACAUGGGCCUACGGGUCACUUAGUGCGUUUUUUUAACAUUCAGCAUGGUGUUCUCUUUCCUAUUCAAGAAGUUUUCAUCCGAUCUUCACCAAACUUGGUCAGACGUUUUAUCUAGAUGAUCUAAAGGCCAUGGUUGAACAAGGGCCAUGCCAGAUCAAAAACUAGGUCACGGGGUCACAUAGUGCGUUUUUUAACAUUCAGCAUGGUGUCCUCUCUCUUAUUCAAGUAGUUUUCAUCCGAUCUUCACCAAACUUGGUCAGAGGUUUUAUCUAGAUGAUCUGAAGGCCAAGUUCGAUUAUGGGCCAUGCCAGAUCAAAAAAUAGGUCGCAGGGUCACUUAGUACGUUUUACACAUUGAGCAUGGUGUCCGCUCUCUAUUUCAAGUAGUUUAAAUCCGAUCUUCACCACACUUGGUCAGAAGUUGUAACUAGAUGAUGUGUAGGUCAAGUUCGAACAUGGGCCAUGCCGGGUCAAAAACUAGAUCACAGGGUCACUUUGUGUGUUUUAAACCUCACCAUGUUGUCCGCUCUCUAAGUCAAGUAGUUUUUAUCCAAUCUUCACCAAAAUUGGUCAGAAGUUGUAUAAGUCGAUGACAAAUCGACUUCUUGCACUAAUACUACAACUCGCUUAAGAAAUUCAGCACGAAGACAUCUUGGGUCAGACUACCAAGCCUCCUAUCAAUAUAUCCUCCCAUGUUGGGUACAUCAACACUUCCAACAGCAGAGCCUUGGUGAGUUCGACUUCCAUCUCAGCAUCAAUGUCGCUUAGCAACAAUUGGAUGAUGGGCGUCGACAAAUUAGGCCGGAUAAGUCGCUCGAACUGAAACGAUCUGAUCCAACAGGUAGAGCAGGCGUUGAGUGAUACAUCCGUUAAUGUGACUGACCUCGAUAUGUUGUUCUCGAAUAAUGUUAACCUUAGGCCUGGAGAGCAGUAUGCAUUUGACGCCAUUCAACAACAGUUAUUGUCUGCAGUUCUCGGGUUUGGGGUGGCAACUUUGGCGUAGGGACUCGCUCCAUCUCUGUCUAUGGCCCAGUCGCAGCAGCAGCAGCAGCAGCAACAAGAACAAUAAGUAGUAUCUUAGCGGUGUUCUGGGAUAUGGGGCUUCAUGUAUGUGCUUAAAUUGUCAUCCCAGAUUAGCCUGUGCAGACUGCUUCUACAUUAAGUCCUAUUAAAGUGUCAUCCCAGAUUAGCCUGUGCAGACUGCACAUAGAUUAAGUCCUUUUAAAGUGUCAUCCCAGAUUAGCCUGUGCAGACUGCACAUACAUUAAGUCCUAUUAAAGUGUCAUCCCAGAUUAGCCUGUGCAGACUGCACAUACAUUAAGUCCUUUUAAAUUGUCAUCCCAGAUUAGCCUGUGCAGACUGCACAUACAUACAGUCCUAUUAAAGUGUCAUCCUAGUUUGGCCUGUGCAGACUGCACAUACAUUAAGUCCUAUUAAAGUGUCAUCCCAGAUUAGCCUGUGCAGACUGCACAUACAUUAAGUCCUAUUAAAGUGUCAUCACAGAUAAGCCUGUGCAGACUGCACAUACAUUUAUUCGUUUAAAGUGUCAUCCCAGAUUAGCAUGUGCAGACUGCACAUAAAUGAAGUCCUUUUAAAGUGUCAUCCCAUAUUAGCCUGUGCAGACUGCACAUACAUUAAGUCCUAUUAAAGUGUCAUCCCAGAUUAGCCUGUGCAGACUGCACAUACAUUAAGUCCUAUUAAAGUGUCAUCCCAGAUAAGCCUGUGCAGACUGCACAUGCAUUAAGCCCUAUUAAAGUGUCAUCCCAGAUAAGCCUGUGCAGACUGCACAUACAUGAAAUCCUAUUAAAGUGUCAUCCCAGAUUAGCAUGUGCAGAUUGCACAUACAUUAAGCCCUAUUAAAGUGUCAUCCCAGAUUAGCCUGUGCAGAAUGCACAUACAUUAAGCCCUAUUUUCCCAGAAUGAGGCACAUAUAGUUCACUUAACAUCUGUCCUUUUAUGUGCCUGCUUAAGAAAAAGGUCCAAGCAUCAAAUGGUAAGUAGGUGUUUUUAAAAUUAAUCAACUUGAUAAAUAAAUAGCAAAUAGCAAUUGAUCAGGUUUAAACAUAGAAGGUCAAGUCAUAGUUUUGUCUACGUUUCGGCCGAAAUUCAGCCCUUGAACGAAGCGUUUAUCCUUGCAUAUAAAAUCCGCUGUAAAUACUUGUUAAAUUUUAUUUAAUUUUAGCAAAACAAUUAUUUAAACGACUUCAGCACAUUAUACAAUUAUUCCCUUCAAUAUUUAUGUAAGUUCCUGAAUUUUUUUUAAGAGCCGGUUCCUACAGGAUCCCAUGCAGUCAUAGAUCGGUACCCAGCUGAACAACAGGCUGUUUGGUAAGCUGGGCCCGGAUAGGUGCAGCCAGUCUAAAGCUGGGGCUCCAAACUUUCCUGCUAAGUGGGCUGAUAUUACCUCUUCUACAAGGGACAUAUGUCAGUGAUGCGCAAAGAGCUGGUUUUCUGUUCACAGAAAAAUAACCUAACAACUCCAACUCAGCCACUUCAUAUCAAUAGACAACCCGAAUAUCAAGGCGUUAAGUUUGUUCUGGAUGCAGUUACAGUCACAGCUUUCAAGCCAGCAGCUGUCAAUGUAUUGAGAUUCUCUCCUCUCCAUGUUACCUGACCUGCUGCCUGUGAACACCCUGCACAUAGAACAUUUAUCCCAAUCGAUGUAAUUAAACCGGCCAAUCAAAAGGACAACCUGGUACAGCACUUGUCAUAAGCUUGACGCCAUGCAUGCCUUUGAAGAUCAUUUAUACAUACAAUUUAAGCAUGAUAGUCAAUAAGUGCCUGCUUUGGCAUCUUAAAAGACUGGCAAUCCUGAGCAUUUACGAUGGAAUUCCUCAUCUUGAAAUAUUGGGAAGGAAGGAAAAUACCUGUCACUGUUAAGACAAAAAUGAGGGAAUGACAAAGCACAAUAAGACCAGCCAAGUCCUGUGAUCAGCCAAGUCCUGUGGCCAGACACGUCUUGUGGCCAGUCCAGUCCUGUGAUCAGACAAGUCCUUUGAUCAGCCAGGUCUUGUGGCCAGCCAAGUCAUGUGAUCAGACAAGUCCUGUGAUCAGCCAGGUCUUGUGAUUAGUCAAGUCCUGUUACAAGCCAAGUCCUGUGACCAGCCAAGUCUUGUGACCAGCCAAGUCUUUAGAUCAGCCAAGCCCUGUAAUCAGACAAGUCUUUGAUUAGUCAAGUCCUGCGGCUAGCGAAGUCUUGUGGUCAGCCAAGUCAUGUGAUCAGCAAAGUCUUAUGAUCAGUCAAGUCUUGUGGCCAGCCAAGUCAAGUCAUCAUCCAAGUCAUGCAAUCAGCCAAGUUAUAUGACCAUCCAAGUUCUGCUCCCAGCCAAGUCCUGUGAUCAUCCAAAUUUUUGUGAUCAGUCAAGUCCAAGCAAAGUUGUAUGAUCAGCCAGGUCCUGUGACCAGCCAAGUCCUGUUACCAGCCAAGUCCUGUGACCAGCCAAGUCCUGUUACCAGCCAAGUCCUGUGACCAGCGAAGUCAAGUGACCAGUCAAGUUUUAGGAUCAGCUUAGUUCUUUGGCCAGCCAAGUCAUGUGACCAGCCAAGUGUUUUUACCAGCCAUGUCCUAUGACCAGCAACUUUGUCUCGUGUGUACAGUCUGAUUGUAUGGGAAGAAAAAUCUUCAUUUCAUAUUGUAUGGGUAUAAUAAUACUGACAGUAUCUUGAUGAUUAAGUAUUUUGUUAUAUAUUGGUAAAUAGACCAAUAUGAUAAGGGGAAACUCAGUAAUAGCAGUAAUUUAAAGUUUUAUUUCAAGAGCUAAAUAAUGCAAGUACUACUAUUUUGUCUGUAUUCAGAAACUGACUAUAUAGCUUUAUCCUGAUUAUCGUAAACAGACAGACAAAAAUAUGUUACAAUUGGUUUUUUUUAAACAUUGAUUUUAAGCCUUCACAAAGUUGUUUAAAUAAUGCUGAUACCUUGGACAAUAUUUAACUUAUUUAUUGUAUAAACAAGACAUGCUUAUUUUUAGUUUUUACCUAUAAAAUAGCAAUAUGUGCUAGGUAAAAUAAUUGAUCAGAACGAUUCAUAAUUGUGAUGCUUCUAUUUUGAUCUCUCUGUCAUUCUGUCCGUGUACAUUUAUCAUCAGUUUGCUCUUUUUAGGCAGUAUUUUAUCAAGAAUUUCAUGUAGUGAUGUAAUAGUAAAAUAUCAAAUAAUAAUUUGAUUUAUUCAAACUAUAUUAACCUUCUGUUAAUUAUCAAUUUAUUUAUUGACAACAGAUACUUUGUUUAAUAUUAACAAUAGUUAAGCGCGUUAUAAAAAUUGUGUGAAUGUACAUGCAUAAUAUUUCGAUCAUUAAUGCACACAUUAAUGGAAAAACUAUUUAAAUAAAGUAAAACUUAGAAGUGCAUCUUAACUGUAAUGGAGUUUGUUUAAUUAUUUAAAAAGUAUGCUUUCAUUGUUGAAAAUAUGAUAGUAAUUCCUCCACAAGUAAUUUUGUUUCAAAGUGAGUAUUUUCAUGAAUAAUGAUCCUAGAUAUGGUUGUAGAUUGUUCUUGUUGUAUCAUAUACUGACAUGCUCAUUAUUUGUGUUGACAUUUGCAUUCUAGCUCUAAAAGUACAUUAUGCUUUAGAUAUGUGUAUGUACACAUUUGCGACCAGCUUUUCUAAUGUAAUAAGUGAAUAACGUUACACAGAUUUAUGUGUCUCUGUAUAUAAGUUUAUUUUGUCAUUUGUAAAUAGAUCAACUGCAAAGCUAAUGUUUUUGUUUGUACAGUAUUCAUAAAAUAUUGCCAUUUCAAACAGAUACAUUCACUGUUUGAAUUCAUUUGUACAAAAUUGUUUCAUAUUAAACAUCAUUUACAUAUCAGGCAAUAGAGAAAAAGAAUUGCUUUGGAUGAAUGAGCACAUUAACCUGUAUAGUAAAUUAAGAUAUGCAGAAUAUCAGAUUAUUAACAUAAUAAUAUACUUUAAGGAUUAGAAACACCUUGUUGUAUGUCAAGCUUUUUAGUUAAUAUAAUUAAGCAACUGCUAUCUGGAAAUUUGGAAAACAGUGAAGAACGACUCAAGGGAGAGCAACUGUGUUAUACUAAAUAAAAGUCGUCUCCCUUGUUAGAGUAUAAUUGUACCUCUCAACGUAACAAGAACAUUGAAUCUUUUUUUUUAAUUAUUCGACACUAUAAACUAUAUACUAUAUUCAUUCCAUAAUCGCUAAAGAAAUAUGGUUUGCAUAAUUGUUUAUUUCUAUGCGUUAUACCAAAUUCACCAGUAUGGCAUCAAUUAAAAUUCAUCAUAUUUUAAUUGCCAAAAUUGGCCAUACAGUGCUAAAAAUUUGGUAUUUUGACUAUUAUAAGUGCAUGUUCUCAUACAAUAUCACAUAGUAUAUUUUAACACUGAGGCAAUAUGUGUUAAUAUAUUAAAAUUUAUUUAUUAACUUGUUGUUGCUUGUUAAGGUGUCUAAUUUUGAAUUAUAGCUGUAAAUUGAUUGUGACUAUUUUCCAGUUUUGAAUGAUUGCUUUUAGUUGAUUGUUUACAAGUUUUGUAAAAGCUGUUUUAAUGUUGACUGCUCCACAUUAAAUGUCGUUGACGCACAUUCACUGCGGCCAGGUUCCGUAAAACUCCCAUCUCAUCUGAUGUCUUAUGAUUGGAUUCCAUACAUAGUGGUUGUUUAUACUCAGCUUGCUUUGCAUUAAACAUGUCUGCUUUGUUGUUGAACAAUUAUACACAGCUUUUUAUUAGACAAAAUUGUGUAAUAUUUCAAAUUUUUGAUAUCAAUUUUUUAUUUCGAACAAAAAUAUAUUUUGUUUAUUUGUAUGUAUAUUUAGCUAUAAUAAAAUUGUUUCUAUAAUAUAUAAACAACAUAUUUUUAAGCAAUAAACUAUAUUGGUAAAAGUAGAUUUAAGGUUCAAAAUCAUGUCUUAAUUUGUUCGAUUAUCCCAAAUUAACAUUUUGCAAAAGCAAAACUUGUUGAAUAAAGAAAACUUUAUGCAACGUACCACCAGGUCUUUUAACCAUUGAUUGUGUAUCACUAACGAUCAGGACUUUAUCAGGGAUUAAUAAUUGCCUUUGCAUGGCUAUAAUGUUUGUGUUAUUGAAUUGAAUAAUUUCUGUAGUUUGGUGCACAUUAAUUGUUGUUUUUUUUUAAGACAUAGCACAUGUCAUUUAAUAUAGUAUCAUUGUAGUUUUGGUAUGUUUAGGGAUAUAAUCAUGUUAAUGUAUGUGAUUUGCUGAUCCAUUUCUUGUUGUUUCACUCCAUUUAAUGUAUAUAGCCAUGCAUAGAGCAGGAAUCUUGUUGUACUGUGAAACAAAUGUUGUUAUAGUAAAUAAAAAAUGUAUGUUAA